rnacentral:rRNA from 1 species
AUUGAACGCUGGCGGCAGGCCUAACACAUGCAAGUCGAACGGUAACAGGAAGCAGCUUGCUGCUUUGCUGACGAGUGGCGGACGGGUGAGUAAUGUCUGGGAAACUGCCUGAUGGAGGGGGAUAACUACUGGAAACGGUAGCUAAUACCGCAUAACGUCGCAAGACCAAAGAGGGGGACCUUCGGGCCUCUUGCCAUCAGAUGUGCCCAGAUGGGAUUAGCUUGUUGGUGGGGUAACGGCUCACCAAGGCGACGAUCCCUAGCUGGUCUGAGAGGAUGACCAGCCACACUGGAACUGAGACACGGUCCAGACUCCUACGGGAGGCAGCAGUGGGGAAUAUUGCACAAUGGGCGCAAGCCUGAUGCAGCCAUGCCGCGUGUAUGAAGAAGGCCUUCGGGUUGUAAAGUACUUUCAGCGGGGAGGAAGGUGUUGUGGUUAAUAACCACAGCAAUUGACGUUACCCGCAGAAGAAGCACCGGCUAACUCCGUGCCAGCCGCCGC